UCCUUCUCACCCCAGGCUUAAUGGUUGAGUUGCUAAUCCCCUUUCCUUGGACAUCUUUAAUAUGCAUAUCUAUUUUAUUUGAUGCACACUAUCUUUCUAUUUGAACUUAAAGGCAUAUCUAUUUUAUUUGAUGUACUCUCUUUCUAUUUUAACAGCUGGUAAUAAAUCAGAUGUCUGCUUUGGUGUAUAGGUUUUACAAUACUACUAGUUUUU
rnacentral:lncRNA from 1 species